rnacentral:rRNA from 1 species
UACGUAGGGGCCGAGCGUUGUCCGGAGUUAUUGGGCGUAAAGCGCGCGCAGGCGGCUUGACGCGCCCGACGUGAAAGCCCCCGGCUUAACCGGGGAGGGUCGUCGGGUACGGUCAGGCUUGAGGGCGGGAGAGGGUGGUGGAAUUCCCGGUGUAGUGGUGAAAUGCGUAGAGAUCGGGAGGAACACCUGUGGCGAAGGCGGCAUCCUGGACCGGCAUUGACGCUGAGGCGCGAAAGCCAGGGGAGCAAACGGG